AGAGUUUGAUCCUGGCUCAGGACGAACGCUGGCGGCGUGCCUAAUACAUGCAAGUAGAACGCUGAAGAGAGGAGCUUGCUCUUCUUGGAUGAGUUGCGAACGGGUGAGUAACGCGUAGGUAACCUGCCUUGUAGCGGGGGAUAACUAUUGGAAACGAUAGCUAAUACCGCAUAACAAUGGAUGACCCAUGUCAUUUAUUUGAAAGGGGCAAAUGCUCCACUACAAGAUGGACCUGCGUUGUAUUAGCUAGUAGGUGAGGUAACGGCUCACCUAGGCGACGAUACAUAGCCGACCUGAGAGGGUGAUCGGCCACACUGGGACUGAGACACAGCCCAGACUCCUACGGGAGGCAGCAGUAGGGAAUCUUCGGCAAUGGGGGCAACCCUGACCGAGCAACGCCGCGUGAGUGAAGAAGGUUUUCGGAUCGUAAAGCUCUGUUGUAAGUCAAGAACGAGUGUGAGAGUGGAAAGUUCACACUGUGACGGUAGCUUACCAGAAAGGGACGGCUAACUACGUGCCAGCAGCCGCGGUAAUACGUAGGUCCCGAGCGUUGUCCGGAUUUAUUGGGCGUAAAGCGAGCGCAGGCGGUUUGAUAAGUCUGAAGUUAAAGGCUGUGGCUCAACCAUAGUUCGCUUUGGAAACUGUCAAACUUGAGUGCAGAAGGGGAGAGUGGAAUUCCAUGUGUAGCGGUGAAAUGCGUAGAUAUAUGGAGGAACACCGGUGGCGAAAGCGGCUCUCUGGUCUGUAACUGACGCUGAGGCUCGAAAGCGUGGGGAGCGAACAGGACUAGAUACCCUGGUAGUCCACGCCGUAAACGAUGAGUGCUAGGUGUUGGAUCCUUUCCGGGAUUCAGUGCCGCAGCUAACGCAUUAAGCACUCCGCCUGGGGAGUACGACCGCAAGGUUGAAACUCAAAGGAAUUGACGGGGGCCCGCACAAGCGGUGGAGCAUGUGGUUUAAUUCGAAGCAACGCGAAGAACCUUACCAGGUCUUGACAUCCCGAUGCUAUUUCUAGAGAUAGAAAGUUACUUCGGUACAUCGGUGACAGGUGGUGCAUGGUUGUCGUCAGCUCGUGUCGUGAGAUGUUGGGUUAAGUCCCGCAACGAGCGCAACCCCUAUUGUUAGUUGCCAUCAUUCAGUUGGGCACUCUAGCGAGACUGCCGGUAAUAAACCGGAGGAAGGUGGGGAUGACGUCAAAUCAUCAUGCCCCUUAUGACCUGGGCUACACACGUGCUACAAUGGUUGGUACAACGAGUUGCGAGUCGGUGACGGCAAGCUAAUCUCUUAAAGCCAAUCUCAGUUCGGAUUGUAGGCUGCAACUCGCCUACAUGAAGUCGGAAUCGCUAGUAAUCGCGGAUCAGCACGCCGCGGUGAAUACGUUCCCGGGCCUUGUACACACCGCCCGUCACACCACGAGAGUUUGUAACACCCGAAGUCGGUGAGGUAACCUUUUGGAGCCAGCCGCCUAAGGUGGGAUAGAUGAUUGGGGUGAAGUCGUAACAAGGUA
rnacentral:rRNA from 1 species